rnacentral:rRNA from 1 species
UGCACAGGCGGAACUUUAAGUCAGUGGUGAAAUCUUGCCGCUUAACGGUAAAAUUGCCAUUGAUACUGAAGUUCUUGAAUAUGGUUGAGGUAGGCGGAAUGUGUUGUGUAGCGGUGAAAUGCAUAGAUAUGACACAGAACGCCGAUUGCGAAGGCAGCUUACUAAGCCAUUAUUGACGCUGAGGCACGAAAGCGUGGGGAGCGAACAGGAUUAGAUACCCUGGUAGUCC